rnacentral:rRNA from 1 species
UACGUAGGUGGCAAGCGUUGUCCGGAAUUACUGGGCGUAAAGCGUGCGCAGGCGGUUAUGCAAGACAGAUGUGAAAUCCCCGGGCUCAACCUGGGAACUGCAUUUGUGACUGCAUGGCUGGAGUGCGGCAGAGGGGGAUGGAAUUCCGCGUGUAGCAGUGAAAUGCGUAGAUAUGCGGAGGAACACCGAUGGCGAAGGCAAUCCCCUGGGCCUGCACUGACGCUCAUGCACGAAAGCGUGGGGAGCAAACAGG